rnacentral:rRNA from 1 species
UACAGAGGUCCCGAGCGUGUUCGGAUUUAUUGGGCGUAAAGGGUGCGUAGGCGGCGGAGUAAGUUGGGUGUGAAAUCCCGGGGCUUAACCUCGGAAUUGCAUUCAAUACUGCUUCGCUCGAGUACUGGAGAGGAGGCUGGAAUUUACGGUGUAGCAGUGAAAUGCGUAGAUAUCGUAAGGAAGGCCGGUGGCGAAAGCGAGCCUCUGGACAGUUACUGACGCUGAUGCACGAAGGCCAGGGGAGCAAACGGG